rnacentral:rRNA from 1 species
GAUGAACGCUGGCGGCGUGCCUAAUACAUGCAAGUCGAGCGAAUGGAUUAAGAGCUUGCUCUUAUGAAGUUAGCGGCGGACGGGUGAGUAACACGUGGGUAACCCGCCCAUAAGACUGGGAUAACUCCGGGAAACCGGGGCUAAUACCGGAUAACAUUUUGAACCGCAUGGUUCGAAAUUGAAAGGCGGCUUCGGCUGUCACUUAUGGAUGGACCCGCGUCGCAUUAGCUAGUUGGUGAGGUAACGGCUCACCAAGGCAACGAUGCGUAGCCAACCUGAGAGGGUGAUCGGCCACACUGGGACUGAGACACGGCCCAGACUCCUACGGGAGGCAGCAGUAGGGAAUCUUCCGCAAUGGACGAAAGUCUGACGGAGCAACGCCGCGUGAGUGACGAAGGCUUUCGGGUCGUAAAACUCUGUUGUUAGGGAAGAACAAGUGCUAGUUGAAUAAGCUGGCACCUUGACGGUACCUAACCAGAAAGCCACGGCUAACUACGUGCCAGCAGCCGCGGUAA